AUUGUAGGCUGAAACUACGCCUACAUGAAGCUGGAGUUACUAGUAAUCGCAGAUCAGAAUGCUGCGGUGAAUGCGUUCCCGGGUCUUGUACACACCGCCCGUCACACCACGGAAGUUGGGGCGCCCGAAGCCACUUAGCUAACCCUUUUGGGAAGCGAGUGUCGAAGGUGAAAUCAAUAACUGGGGUGAAGUCGUAACAAGGUAAC
rnacentral:rRNA from 1 species